GGCUUGACAUAUACCGGAAACGUUCAGAAAUGUUCGCCCCGCAAGGUCGGUAUACAGGUGGUGCAUGGUUGUCGUCAGCUCGUGUCGUGAGAUGUUGGGUUAAGUCCCGCAACGAGCGCAACCCUCGUCGUAUGUUGCCAGCACGUAAUGGUGGGAACUCAUAUGAGACUGCCGGGGUCAACUCGGAGGAAGGUGGGGAUGACGUCAAAUCAUCAUGCCCCUUAUGUCUUGGGCUUCACGCAUGCUACAAUGGCUGGUACAAUGGGCUGCAAUACCGCGAGGUGGAGCGAAUCCCAAAAAGCCAGUCUCAGUUCGGAUUGGGGUCUGCAACUCGACCCCAUGAAGUCGGAGUCGCUAGUAAUCGCAGAUCAGCAACGCUACGGUGAAUACGUUCCCGGG
rnacentral:rRNA from 1 species